GACGAACGCUGGCGGCGUGCCUAAUACAUGCCAGUUGAGCGAUGAAGAUUGGUGCUUGCACCAAUUUGAAGAGCAGCGAACGGGUGAGUAACGCGUGGGGAAUCUGCCUUUGAGCGGGGGACAACAUUUGGAAACGAAUGCUAAUACCGCAUAACAACUUUAAACAUAAGUUUUAAGUUUGAAAGAUGCAGUUGCAUCACUCAAAGAUGAUCCCGCGUUGUAUUAGCUAGUUGGUGAGGUAAAGGCUCACCAAGGCGAUGAUACAUAGCCGACCUGAGAGGGGGAUCGGCCACAUUGGGACUGAGACACGGCCCAAACUCCUACGGGAGGCAGCAGUAGGGAAUCUUCGGCAAUGGACGAAAGUCUGACCGAGCAACGCCGCGUGAGUGAAGAAGGGUUUCGGAUCGUAAAACUCGGUUGGUAGAGAAGAACGUUGGUGAGAGUGGAAAGCUCAUCAAGUGACGGUAACUACCCAGAAAGGGACGGCUAACUACGUG
rnacentral:rRNA from 1 species